rnacentral:rRNA from 1 species
GGUGCGUAACACGUGGGGCAAACAUGCCUGAAAGCGCGGGCAUAAGCCCGGGGAAAUCCCGGAUUAAAUCACCGCAUGUGACAUCUUGGGGGGGAUUCCCUCCGGACGUCAAAGGUGGGUGACCGCGACAAGGCCAUGGCCGUCGUUUGCAGAUUGUGCUCCAGCGCCACCUAUCAGCUUAGUUGAGAUCGAGGUAAUCAGUGCGUCACCAAGGCGUACGGAGGGUAGCUGGGUCUGAGAGUGACGACCAGGCGACAACUGGGAACUGAGACAACGGUCCAGACUACCAAACGGGUGGCAGCAGUCGAGAAUCUUUCACAAUGGGGGAAACCCUGAUGGAGCGACAGCCGCGUGGAGGAUGAAGGUCUUCGGAUUGUAAACUCCUGUCAUGAGAGAACAAGCAGACCCGGUUAACAGCCGGGCGAGCCGAUAGUAUCUCAAGAGGAAGGGACGG